rnacentral:rRNA from 1 species
AACGAACGCUGGCGGCAUGCCUAACACAUGCAAGUCGAACGAGACCUUCGGGUCUAGUGGCGCACGGGUGCGUAACGCGUGGGAACCUGCCCUUAGGUUCGGAAUAACUCCCCGAAAGGGGUGCUAAUACCGGAUAAUGUCUUCGGACCAAAGAUUUAUCGCCUUUGGAUGGGCCCGCGUUGGAUUAGCUAGUUGGUAAGGUAAAAGCCUACCAAGGCGACGAUCCAUAGCUGGUCUGAGAGGAUGAUCAGCCACACUGGGACUGAGACACGGCCCAGACUCCUACGGGAGGCAGCAGUGGGGAAUAUUGGACAAUGGGCGAAAGCCUGAUCCAGCAAUGCCGCGCGAGUGAUGAAGGCCUUAGGGUUGUAAAGCUCUUUUACCCGGGAUGAUAAUGACAGUACCGGGAGAAUAAGCUCCGGCUAACUCCGUG